AGGUAGGAAUCCCCUGUUUUCCUCACCCCAUGUAGGACCCUCCCAAAGACACAUGCUCAGUCACAGAGGAUGAUCUUCCCUGAACAGAGGAGGACCAUUUCUUGGUUAAGGAUAUAGUAGAAGCCACACUCUGCUAGGACCUCCAAACAAGCUCUCAAAAAAUAAGGCAGAGGGCUGGAGAGAUGGCUUAGCAGUUAAGGCAUUUGCCUGCAAAGUCAAAGGAUCCUGGUUUGACUCUCCAG
rnacentral:sRNA from 1 species